rnacentral:rRNA from 1 species
UACGUAGGUGGCAAGCGUUACUCGGAAUCACUAGCGUAAAGCGCAGGUAGGCGGUUCGGUAAGUCUCUUGUGAAAGCUCCCGGCUCAACUGGGAGAGGUCAAGGGAAACUGCCGGGCUAGAGUGCGGCAGAGGAAGCUGGAAUUCCCGGUGUAGCGGUGAAAUGCGUAGAGAUCGGGAGGAACACCGGUGGCGAAGGCGGCAUCCUGGACCGGCAUUGACGCUGAGGCGGCGAAAGCUAGGGGAGCAAACAGG